rnacentral:rRNA from 1 species
UGGGGAAUAUUGGACAAUGGAGGCAACUCUGAUCCAGCAAUUCUGUGUGUGUGAAGAAGGUUUAGGACUGUAAAACACUUUUAGUAGGGAAGAAAGAAAUGACGGUACCUACAGAAGAAGCGACGGCUAAAUACGUGCCAGCAGCCGCGGUAAUACGUAUGUCGCGAGCGUUAUCCGGAAUUAUUGGGCUUAAAGGGCAUCUAGGCGGUAAGACAAGUUGAAGGUGAAAACCUGUGGCUCAACCAUAGGCUUGCCUACAAAACUGUUGAACUAGAGUACUGGAAAGGUGGGUGGAACUACACGAGUAGAGGUGAAAUUCGUAGAUAUGUGUAGGAAUGCCGAUGAUGAAGAUAACUCACUGGACAGAAACUGACGCUGAAGUGCGAAAGCUAGGGGAGCAAACAGG